rnacentral:rRNA from 1 species
CAAUAGCGUAUAUUAAAGUUGUUGCAGUUAAAAAGCUCGUAGUUGAAACUUGGGCCUGGCUGGCGGGUCCGCCUCACCGCGUGCACUCGUCCGGCCGGGCCUUCCUUCUGAAGAACCUCAUGCCCUUCACUGGGCGUGCUGGGGAAUCAGGACUUUUACUUUGAAAAAAUUAGAGUGUUCAAAGCAGGCCUUUGCUCGAAUACGUUAGCAUGGAAUAAUAAAACAGGGCGUGCGUUUCUAUUUUGUUGGUUUCUAGAGACGCCGCAAUGAUUAACAGGAACAGUCGGGGGCAUCAGUAUUCAGUUGUCAGAGGUGAAAUUCUUGGAUUUACUGAAGACUAACUACUGCGAAAGCAUUUGCCAUGGAUGUUUUCAUUAG